GCUACUGUCAGAAGUUAAGUUCAAAGGUCAUUUUGCUCUCUAUUCUGCAAUAUUAUGAAUGCAAACUUAAUGAACAACAUGCUCCAUUGCUACCUUCUUCUAUUUCCUUGUAUAGAAAACCUUCCUAUGAACUUCACAUUUCACUUCGGGAAAAAUACAACAGACAUUGCAGCUUAGUAGGGACAAUUCUUUUUACAUAUAACAUACUGAAUAUGUGUCUUCAUCUAAAAAUUUGUAGUAAUUGCUAUAGUCAUAAGGUGGAGCUGAUAGCAAGAUGCCUCUAAUGUAUGUUGACAUCCUUAAGGUCCACAGAAAGUGGAAGCCAUUCUUUACUAGCAGUAGCAGUUUUCAUUUGCAUAUAGUAGAAAACUUAAUUGGUGAAAGUGACCAAAAAUAUUUCUUCAAUAAGGAGAUGGAUAACAACUACGGAUCCUGCAGCACACAUUAAUCUAUUGUUGCCUCCUACAUGAUCUUUACAGACUAGUUAACAUUUCUGAUAUCAGUGAAAAUAAAAAAUGUAUAUUUUCAUGAAAUCUCCAGAAAGAGACUGUAGCCUUUUUAUAUAGCUAUCAAUCUAUAUUUACACUAAAUUUUAAUCUCUGUAUAUUAUAGAUCAACAUUCAUG